rnacentral:rRNA from 1 species
AACGCGAAGAACCUUACCUGGGCUUGAACCGCACAGGACCAGCUUUAGAAAUAGAGCCUUCCCGCAAGGGACCUGUGUAGAGGUGCUGCAUGGCUGUCGUCAGCUCGUGCCGUGAGGUGUUGGGUUAAGUCCCGCAACGAGCGCAACCCUUACUCUUAGUUGCCACCCGCAAGGGGGAACUCUAAGAGGACUGCUCCGGAUAACGGAGAGGAAGGUGGGGAUGACGUCAAGUCAGCACGGCCUUUAUGUCCAGGGCUACACACGUGUUACAAUGCAUGGUACAAACCGUCGCGAACCCGCGAGGGGGAGCUAAUCGGAAAAAACCAUGCUCAGUUCGGAUUGCAGUCUGCAACUCGACUGCAUGAAGCUGGAAUCGCUAGUAAUGGCGUAUCAGAACGACGCCGUGAAUACGUUCCCGGGCCUUGUACACACCGGAGUGC